GGUCAAGCGAAUAAGGGCUAAUGGUCGAUACCUAGGCACCCAGAG
rnacentral:rRNA from 1 species